UACAGAGGGGGCAAGCGUUGUUCGGAAUUACUGGGCGUAAGGGGCGCGUAGGCGGCCUGCUAAGUCGAACGUGAAAUCCCUGGGCUCAACCCAGGAACUGCGUCCGAUACUGGUUGGCUUGAAUCCGGGAGAGGGACGUGGAAUUCCAGGUGUAGCGGUGAAAUGCGUAGAUAUCUGGAGGAACACCGGUGGCGAAGGCGACGUCCUGGACCGGCAUUGACGCUGAGGCGCGAAAGCCAGGGGAGCAAACGGG
rnacentral:rRNA from 1 species